UUUAAUGUUUGAUGUUCUAACGUGGACCCGUGAUCCGGGUUGCGGACAGUGUCUGGUGGGUAGUUUGACUGGGGCGGUCUCCUCCUAAAGAGUAACGGAGGAGCACGAAGGUUGGCUAAUCCUGGUCGGACAUCAGGAGGUUAGUGCAAUGGCAUAAGCCAGCUUGACUGCGAGCGUGACGGCGCGAGCAGGUGCGAAAGCAGGUCAUAGUGAUCCGGUGGUUCUGAAUGGAAGGGCCAUCGCUCAACGGAUAAAAGGUACUCCGGGGAUAACAGGCUGAUACCGCCCAAGAGUUCAUAUCGACGGCGGUGUUUGGCACCUCGAUGUCGGCUCAUCACAUCCUGGGGCUGAAGUAGGUCCCAAGGGUAUGGCUGUUCGCCAUUUAAAGUGGUACGCGAGCUGGGUUUAGAACGUCGUGAGACAGUUCGGUCCCUAUCUGCCGUGGGCGCUGGAGAACUGAGGGGGGCUGCUCCUAGUACGAGAGGACCGGAGUGGACGCAUCACUGGUGUUCGGGUUGUCAUGCCAAUGGCACUGCCCGGUAGCUAAAUGCGGAAGAGAUAAGUGCUGAAAGCAUCUAAGCACGAAACUUGCCCCGAGAUGAGUUCUCCCUGACUCCUUGAGAGUCCUGAAGGAACGUUGAAGACGACGACGUUGAUAGGCCGGGUGUGUAAGCGCAGCGAUGCGUUGAGCUAACCGGUACUAAUGAACCGUGAGGCUUAACCUUAC
rnacentral:rRNA from 1 species